GGUCUCCUCCCAUGGCAGUGGUGCAGGGAGGAGCCCCUCCUGCAGCCAGUGGGGGAGACAGAGAACAAAAGAUAGAGGAAAGUCGUCGUGGCUGCCCAGAGCUUGUGGCUGCCAUGUUUUCCUGCCUCUUACAUCA